UACGUAGGGGGCAGGCGUUAAUCGGAAUUACUGGGCGUAAAGCGUGCGCAGGCGGUCUCCUAAGUCAGAUGUGAAAUCCCCGGGCUUAACCUGGGAACUGCGUUUGAAACUGGGAGGCUAGAGUGCGGCAGAGGGGGGUGGAAUUCCACGUGUAGCAGUGAAAUGCGUAGAUAUGUGGAGGAACACCGAUGGCGAAGGCAGCCCCCUGGGCCUGCACUGACGAUCAUGCACGAAAGCGUGGGGAGCAAACAGG
rnacentral:rRNA from 1 species